rnacentral:rRNA from 1 species
UACAGAGGUCCCAAGCGUUGUUCGGAUUCACUGGGCGUAAAGGGUGCGUAGGUGGCGGGGUAAGUUUGAUGUGAAAUCUCCGGGCUUAACCCGGAAAUGGCAUUGAAUACUAUUCAGCUCGAGGUUUGGGGGGGGGACUGGAAUUCUCGGUGUAGCAGUGAAAUGCGUAGAUAUCGAGAGGAACACCAGUGGCGAAGGCGAGUCCCUGGACAACACCUGACACUGAGGCACGAAAGCUAGGGGAGCAAACAGGAUUAGAUACCCUGGUAGUCCUAGCCCUAAACGGUGCGCGUUUGCUGUAAGAGGAAUCGACCCCUCUUGUGGCGAAGCUAACGCGUUAAACGCGCCGCCUGGGGAGUACGGUCGCAAGAUUAAAACUCAAAGAAAUUGACGGGGGCCUGCACAAGCGGUGGAGUAUGUGGCUUAAUUCGAUGCAACGCGAAGAACCUUACCUGGCCUUGACAUGCAAGUGGUAGAACCAUGAAAGUGGGACGACCCCGCAAGGGGAGCUUGCACAGGUGCUGCAUGGCUGUCGUCAGCUCGUGUCGUGAGAUGUUGGGUUAAGUCCCGCAACGAGCGCAACCCUUAUGUCCUGUUGCCACCCGAUCGAGAGAUUGGAGCACUCUGGACAGACUGCCUCGCUUAAACGAGGAGGAAGGUGGGGAUGACGUCAAGUCAGUAUGGCCCUUACGGCCAGGGCUGCACACGUACUACAACGCCCGAUACAAAGGGAAGCAAGACCGCAAGGUGGAGCAAAUCUCAUAAAAUCGGGCCCAGUUCAGAUUGUCGUCUGCAACUCGACGACAUGAAGCCGGAAUCGCUAGUAAUGGCGCAUCAGCUACGGCGCCGUGAAUACGUUCCCAGGCCU